rnacentral:snRNA from 1 species
GUACAUGCACAUAUACAAAAAAAUGGAACAAUAAAGAGAAGAUUAGCAUGGCCCCUGUGCAAGGAUGACACACAAAUUUGUGAAGCAUUCCUUUUUUUUUUUUUUUUU